AUGUUCUCGCAAGAGCUUCCCAUCUACACCGCACUCGUGCUACUUGUUCUUCCCCUGUACUACUUGUACUCCAAGGCUAGUUGUAGAUCAAAGAACCCAGCAGUGCUCCCCACAAACUGGCCAAUACUGCACAUGUUCCCUUCCUUCCUGGCCAACCUCCACAAGAUGAAUGACUAUUUCACCCUGGUCCUCGCCGGAUCAGGCCACAACUUCAGGGCGCACGGCCCACCCGGGACCGGGAUGCGGUUGUUCGUCACAUGCGAUCCCGCCAACAUCCGGCACAUCUUCACGACGAACUACACCAACUUCCCCAAGGGUGCGGAGUUUGCCGCAAUCUUCGACAUCAUGAGCGGCGGCAUCUUCACCAUCGACGGUGAGCCAGCUCGUCGGCAGCGCACGAAAAUCAAGAGCGUGCUCAGCAGCCUGCGGUUGGUUGCAAGGAUUGAGGCUUGGUGCCGCGACAAGGUGGAGAACAACCUCCUCCUGUUGUUUACGCACAUGGCGAGCACCGGCACUUCGUUCAACAUGCAAGAACUGAUGUCGAGGUUAAUGUUUGACCUUGCUGCUAUGCCUCUCUUCGGCGUGGACCCCGGCCUUCUAUCUUUGGACAUGCCUCCCAUGGAAGCCGCAGUCGCCAUGGACACAGUCAUGGAGGUGGCAUAUUUUCGGGUUGUGGUGCCGGCUUCUUGUUGGAAGUUGAUGAGGUGGCUGAACAUCGGCCCUGAGAGGAAGCUCAAGGCAGCACACAAGGUGUUGCGUGUGUUUGUCAUGGAGAUGACGGAGAGGAGGAUGAUUAAUGCUUCUUCCGUUGGUAAUGGCAAGCAACAUGAGGGUGUUGAUAUAAUGUCUUCCUUCCUCGACGACCCCUAUUAUACCGAAGAUGACAUGUUCAAUGCAUUGACCAUUAGCUACAUGAUCGCUGCGAGGGACACAGUUGGAACGGCCCUGACAUGGAUUUUCUACAACCUUUCCCAGAACCCUAAUAUUGUGUCAAUCAUCCGCAAUGAACUCUCACCGAUUGCAUCACACAAAGUAGCGGCCCAUCCAGAUGCCAUGGUGAUCUUUGAGCCGGACGAGACUAAAUCUCUAGUCUAUCUGAGAGCUGUCUUGUACGAGACUCUCAGGUUGUACCCACCAGCCCCUCUCGAGCGCAAGAUGGUGGCCGCCAAUGAUAUCAUGCCGAGUGGUCAUGAGGUGCAUGCCGGCGACACCAUCCUUAUUUCUCUCCACUCCAUGGGAAGAAUGGAGGGUAUAUGGGGUAAAGACUGCCUCAACUACAAUCCAAAUAGGUGGCUCUCGGAGGAUGGCAACGAGCUGAGGUACGUACCAUCUCACAAGUUCUUGGCCUUCAGCUCGGGUCCGAGGAUGUGCCUCGGCAAGGACAUCGCGGUUAUGCAGAUGAAGACAGUCAUCGCCUCAACGUUGUGGAACUUUGAUGUUGAGGUAAUGGAAGGGCAAUGCAUCGAGCCUAAGUCAUCUUGUAUACUGGAGAUGAAAAAGGGGCUCAUAGUUAAGCUGAAGAAGCGAGAGAUGUUACACUAG
rnacentral:rRNA from 1 species